rnacentral:rRNA from 1 species
UUAAGCGACUAAGCGUACACGGUGGAUGCCCUGGCAGUCAGAGGCGAUGAAGGACGUGCUAAUCUGCGAUAAGCGUCGGUGAGGUGAUAUGAACCGUUAUAACCGGCGAUUUCCGAAUGGGGAAACCCAGUGUGUUUCGACACACUAUCAUUAACUGAAUCCAUAGGUUAAUGAGGCGAACCGGGGGAACUGAAACAUCUAAGUACCCCGAGGAAAAGAAAUCAACCGAGAUUCCCCCAGUAGCGGCGAGCGAACGGGGAGGAGCCCAGAGCCUGAAUCAGUGUGUGUGUUAGUGGAAGCGUCUGGAAAGGCGCGCGAUACAGGGUGACAGCCCCGUACACAAAAAUGCACAUAUUGUGAGCUCGAUGAGUAGGGCGGGACACGUGGUAUCCUGUCUGAAUAUGGGGGGACCAUCCUCCAAGGCUAAAUACUCCUGACUGACCGAUAGUGAACCAGUACCGUGAGGGAAAGGCGAAAAGAACCCCGGCGAGGGGAGUGAAAAAGAACCUGAAACCGUGUACGUACAAGCAGUGGGAGCCUCUUAAUGGGGUGACUGCGUACCUUUUGUAUAAUGGGUCAGCGACUUAUAUUCUGUAGCAAGGUUAACCGAAUAGGGGAGCCGAAGGGAAACCGAGUCUUAACUGGGCGUUAAGUUGCAGGGUAUAGACCCGAAACCCGGUGAUCUAGCCAUGGGCAGGUUGAAGGUUGGGUAACACUAACUGGAGGACCGAACCGACUAAUGUUGAAAAAUUAGCGGAUGACUUGUGGCUGGGGGUGAAAGGCCAAUCAAACCGGGAGAUAGCUGGUUCUCCCCGAAAGCUAUUUAGGUAGCGCCUCGUGAAUUCAUCUCCGGGGGUAGAGCACUGUUUCGGCAAGGGGGUCAUCCCGACUUACCAACCCGAUGCAAACUGCGAAUACCGGAGAAUGUUAUCACGGGAGACACACGGCGGGUGCUAACGUCCGUCGUGAAGAGGGAAACAACCCAGACCGCCAGCUAAGGUCCCAAAGUCAUGGUUAAGUGGGAAACGAUGUGGGAAGGCCCAGACAGCCAGGAUGUUGGCUUAGAAGCAGCCAUCAUUUAAAGAAAGCGUAAUAGCUCACUGGUCGAGUCGGCCUGCGCGGAAGAUGUAACGGGGCUAAACCAUGCACCGAAGCUGCGGCAGCGACACUAUGUGUUGUUGGGUAGGGGAGCGUUCUGUAAGCCUGUGAAGGUGGCCUGUGAGGGUUGCUGGAGGUAUCAGAAGUGCGAAUGCUGACAUAAGUAACGAUAAAGCGGGUGAAAAGCCCGCUCGCCGGAAGACCAAGGGUUCCUGUCCAACGUUAAUCGGGGCAGGGUGAGUCGACUCCUAAGGCGAGGCCGAAAGGCGUAGUCGAUGGGAAACAGGUUAAUAUUCCUGUACUUGGUGUUACUGCGAAGGGGGGACGGAGAAGGCUAUGUUGGCCGGGCGACGGUUGUCCCGGUUUAAGCGUGUAGGCUGGUUUUCCAGGCAAAUCCGGAAAACCAAGGCUGAGGCGUGAUGACGAGGCACUACGGUGCUGAAGUGACAAAUGCCCUGCUUCCAGGAAAAGCCUCUAAGCAUCAGGUAACAUCAAAUCGUACCCCAAACCGACACAGGUGGUCAGGUAGAGAAUACCAAGGCGCUUGAGAGAACUCGGGUGAAGGAACUAGGCAAAAUGGUGCCGUAACUUCGGGAGAAGGCACGCUGAUAUGUAGGUGAAGCGACUUGCUCGUGGAGCUGAAAUCAGUCGAAGAUACCAGCUGGCUGCAACUGUUUAUUAAAAACACAGCACUGUGCAAACACGAAAGUGGAGGUAUACGGUGUGACGCCUGCCCGGUGCCGGAAGGUUAAUUGAUGGGGUUAGCGGUAACGCGAAGCUCUUGAUCGAAGCCCCGGUAAACGGCGGCCGUAACUAUAACGGUCCUAAGGUAGCGAAAUUCCUUGUCGGGUAAGUUCCGACCUGCACGAAUGGCGUAAUGAUGGCCAGGCUGUCUCCACCCGAGACUCAGUGAAAUUGAACUCGCUGUGAAGAUGCAGUGUACCCGCGGCAAGACGGAAAGACCCCGUGAACCUUUACUAUAGCUUGACACUGAACAUUGAGCCUUGAUGUGUAGGAUAGGUGGGAGGCUUUGAAGUGUGGACGCCAGUCUGCAUGGAGCCGACCUUGAAAUACCACCCUUUAAUGUUUGAUGUUCUAACGUUGGCCCGUAAUCCGGGUUGCGGACAGUGUCUGGUGGGUAGUUUGACUGGGGCGGUCUCCUCCUAAAGAGUAACGGAGGAGCACGAAGGUUGGCUAAUCCUGGUCGGACAUCAGGAGGUUAGUGCAAUGGCAUAAGCCAGCUUGACUGCGAGCGUGACGGCGCGAGCAGGUGCGAAAGCAGGUCAUAGUGAUCCGGUGGUUCUGAAUGGAAGGGCCAUCGCUCAACGGAUAAAAGGUACUCCGGGGAUAACAGGCUGAUACCGCCCAAGAGUUCAUAUCGACGGCGGUGUUUGGCACCUCGAUGUCGGCUCAUCACAUCCUGGGGCUGAAGUAGGUCCCAAGGGUAUGGCUGUUCGCCAUUUAAAGUGGUACGCGAGCUGGGUUUAGAACGUCGUGAGACAGUUCGGUCCCUAUCUGCCGUGGGCGCUGGAGAACUGAGGGGGGCUGCUCCUAGUACGAGAGGACCGGAGUGGACGCAUCACUGGUGUUCGGGUUGUCAUGCCAAUGGCACUGCCCGGUAGCUAAAUGCGGAAGAGAUAAGUGCUGAAAGCAUCUAAGCACGAAACUUGCCCCGAGAUGAGUUCUCCCUGAGACUUAGAGUCUCCUGAAGGAACGUUGAAGACGACGACGUUGAUAGGCCGGGUGUGUAAGCGCAGCGAUGCGUUGAGCUAACCGGUACUAAUGAACCGUGAGGCUUAACCUU